AUUGAACGCUGGCGGCAGGCCUAACACAUGCAAGUCGAACGAGUGGCGGACGGGUGAGUAAUGUCUGGGAAACUGCCUGAUGGCGGGGGAUAACUACUGGAAACGGUAGCUAAUAGCGCAUACCAUCAGAUGUGCCCAGAUGGGAUUAGCUAGUUGGUGGGGUAAAGGCCUACCAAGGCGACGAUCCGUAACUGGUCUGAGAGGAUGAUCAUGCACACGUGAACUUAGACACGGUCCGAGAUCCAACGGGAGGCAGCAGUGGGGAAUAUUGGACAUAGGGCGAAAACCUGCUCCAGCCAUGCCGCGGGUGUGAAGAAGGUUUUCGGAUUGAAAAGCACUUUAAGUUGGGAGGCGUUACCAACAGAAUAGGCACCGGCUAACUUCGUGCCAGCAGCCGCGGUAAUUC
rnacentral:rRNA from 1 species